AACAUUAAUAAGGAAGGCCAAAUGUAUGGUGCAGACAUUGCAGAUUAAAGAGCAACAAUUGGAGAAGAUUUUAGUACGGCAGUGAUGCACCUUCCAAAACAAGUGAUUAUCGUUGUCAAGUUUUGUCAUUGCCAUUUUGUAAUAAAACUUUGCA
rnacentral:lncRNA from 13 species